GGGGCACGCUGCCCUUUCCGGUCCCGCGGCGCUGAGGGUAGGGUGCGCCCAGCGCGGCCCCGCCGUUCAACAUGUAUCAUCUACGCUCUUCCUUGUGGCUUCAGCACAGAUCUGCUCCCAAAUGUGAAGACUUCAAGCUACUUCUUCCCAAGGAUUCAAAUCCUGCACUUCAGAGAAAUGUAGAAGGAACAUGACCUGGCACUUGGGAGAUUGCACUAUGAGCUGUUACAAGAGGAGCCCUCAUGCCUCUUGUGUGAGAAACUAUUCCACCUAUUAUUGAUGUUGUGAAGACAAGACCUUCCUAAUUAAAGGCUUCCAGCUGUUUCUCAUUGUGAGGUGUGAUGGAGCUGGGAGGUGAUGCACCUGCUGCUGCUGCCAGCAAAGGGUACAGCUUGCAUGGAGUUUAAGAAACAAGAUGGAUGUAUCUGAGGGAUGGACUGUGUGCUGUCUGCAGCCUCACAGGGUGAAGAGGCAACUCUGAAACUAGCAUAUGAAGAAUUAAGAAGGGGGAAGAUUGCUGAUAAAUGGGUUACACUUGCAUGAACAGCUGUAAAAAAGCCCGUGUGGUUUUACCUCACUGGUAAUAUUUGCCUGAUGCUGAUUGGAGCCAAUAAAAUCUGCAAACUCUA